rnacentral:rRNA from 1 species
UACGUAGGGUGCGAGCGUUGUCCGGAAUUAUUGGGCGUAAAGGGCUCGUAGGCGGUCUGUCGCGUCGGGAGUGAAAACACCGGGCUUAACUCGGUGCUUGCUUUCGAUACGGGCAGGACUAGAGGUAUGCAGGGGGAGAACGGAAUUCCUGGUGUAGCGGUGAAAUGCGCAGAUAUCAGGAGGAACACCGGUGGCGAAGGCGGUUCUCUGGGCAUUACCUGACGCUGAGGAGCGAAAGUGUGGGGAGCGAACAGG